rnacentral:rRNA from 1 species
AUUGAACGCUGGCGGCAGGCCUAACACAUGCAAGUCGAACGAGUGGCGGACGGGUGAGUAACGUCUGGGAAACUGCCCGAUGGAGGGGGAUAACUACUGGAAACGGUAGCUAAUACCGCCUACCAUCGGAUGUGCCCAGAUGGGAUUAACUAGUAGGUGGGGUAACGGCUCACCUAGGCGACGAUCCCUCGCUGGUCUGUGAGGAUGACCCGCCACACUGGAACUAGGACACGUUCCAGACUCCUGCGGGAGGCAGCAAUGGAGAGGAUUGCACAAUGGGCGCAAUCCUGAUGCAGCCAUAGCGGAAGUAUGAAGAGGGCCUUCGGGAUGUAAAGUACUUUCAGCAGGGGGGCGAUAACGAAAGAAGAAGAACCGGCUAACUCCGUGCCAGCGGCCGCAGUAAUAC